UUGGAUAUCUACAUCUAGAUGAACCAUUGAAUUUGGAUCUUCAUCCAAAACUAUAUAAUCUUCAUAUUGCAUUCUUAUUCUUUUCCCACAUAUAUUUUUCACCUCCGCUUCUUCUAUUCUUGCUUCUAUUUCUUCACCAGAUGGUGUGCACUUCUCUUCUUCUUUCUCUUUUUCAACUUUCCCUUCAUCGAAUACCUUAUAUUCU
rnacentral:lncRNA from 1 species